GCUCAUCAUACAAUCUCAAUGUGAUGUGUGAUAAUCACACAGAUCCAGUGGCAAAGCUACAAGGCUACAACCCCCGGAAUGAAAGAGUAAGAUUAUCCCCUCUGGAACGGCCCGCCAUAGUCAACUCCACUGUCUCCUGGACGUUUGUCCGCUGUAUCCUGUAUUCUUGCUCAUUUCUACAUGCUGAGUACCUUAUAUAUGAACUUCAGCAGAAGGCCAGAGGACAAGAAUGGAAGGUUGUGCCAACUAAUAAGGGCAGUACCAGCAGUCUUCUGGAUGAAGAGGAGCUAGUCAGAGGGGAGCGGUACUGUUUCCGGGUGCGAGUGAAGCCAAAUAUCCCCGAAAAAAUCCCCAAAGCAGAGUGGAGUGAAUGGAGUGCCGAAGCAACUUGGGUCUCCACUAUAGGACGCCCUCCAGGUAAUUUAAAUUUUUUUUGCCAAAAUAGUUUUUUUUUCAAGCAAUAUUGAAACGUUCCACUGACGUAUUGCUGCAUGAAGGUACUUCAGUAUACUUUUCUUGCCUCAGCCAUUGUGUGCCUCUGUGUUUUUAUCUGCUUAGAGAUGUUUGCA